rnacentral:rRNA from 1 species
UGCAGCCUACGGGGGGCAGCAGUGGGGAAUAUUGCGCAAUGGGGGAAACCCUGACGCAGCAACGCCGCGUGAGUGAGGAAGUAUCUCGGUAUGUAAAGCUCUAUCAGCGGGGAAGAAGGAAGACGGUACCCGACUAAGAAGCCCCGGCUAACUACGUGCCAGCAGCCGCGGUAAUACGUAGGGGACGAGCGUUAUCCGGAUUUACUGGGUGUAAAGGGAGCGUAGACGGCGUCGCAAGUCUGAAGUGAAUGCCCGUGGCUCAACCGCGGAACCGCUUUGGAAACUGAGAGGCUGGAGUGCUGGCG